rnacentral:ncRNA from 1 species
GCCGGUGGGAAACCGGCGCUGUCCCGCAACUGUGAUGCCCCGCCCCGGCGGGGACGAGCCAGG